rnacentral:misc_RNA from 1 species
GAAACGAGACAAAAACACAUCAUAUGAGAAUGUACGUCCAUAAUAAAUGGGAAAAGCAUACUGCCUUUAGCCUUCUAUUCUUCCUUGGUAUGUGUUGACCACAGUAUAAAUACAUUUUUAUUAGCUAACAGCAGUUAGAUAAGAUAAAUUCAUUGUCAUUUUGUCAAAUUAUGAAACAUUAAGGAAUAUCAGAAAAAUUGAAUUACUAAUUCUGAUGUACUCCAACUGAUUUCCAGGAAACCAAGAGGAAAAAAGCAAAGAAAUUGAUAUUUAUGUAGCCAUGGAACUUUCACCUUUUGUUUCCAAUAGAACUAAUAAAAUUUCCUACGGAAUACAGUUUUUCACAUCUGAUCACCCCGCAAAACCAUGAGUUUAGAGUGAGAAUACCCAUAGCAAAAGACAUAAAAUUGUUGCGGCUUGUGAUUUGCAGAUGACAAUGCAAUUAUAGAAAUUGAAUAUAGUCACUAGCACGCAAAAACCCACUCCCCCAAUUUGGGAAAUCAUCAAAAUUUUCGCUCA